AGAGAGAAUGUGUGUUAAAAUGGAAAGAUGUUUGAUUUGAUGCGGCACAAAAAAUGGAGAAUUUUCCUCCAUUGGCGGUGGCACACCCCAAGCGAUGACACGCCACCAAAGGUGGGUGGCAGCACACUGCCCGAGGCAGUAGUGUGCUUCACCCAACCAUUGCGCACUGCAGGCCUAGCCUGCAGGCGUCGGGCUACCCUACCGUGUACAGGGCCUAUGGCUCACUUAGGCGCUGUGCGCAGGCCCCAAAUGUGUAAGCCUAUCCGUGCAGGCUUGUUGUGCGGACGGUGCGCGCACAAUGUACGGCACCUGGCCCUUGUCCACGCACGCAGACAGGCUUACC
rnacentral:lncRNA from 1 species